CACUGUUUCAAAAAUAACCGAAAGAUGCAUGUUAAGACGUUAACAUUUUUUCUUCCCUCUUUGUUUUUUUUUUUUUUUUCCUUCAAAAAGAUUACAAAUGCCAUGAGACGAAUGAGAAAAUCCACAACAGAAGGGGGAAAAAAACAGAGGAAGAAGACAAAUAAGCAAUUUUGGGGAGUUUUUGCCAACUUGCAUGGAAUUUGACUCUCCAACCUCUCGUCCUAUCCGAAGUGACGUCGUUUUGGACCCUCCACCACCGUUUCCGACCAUUUACACUUUUCUGCCGCCGCCACCCUCCACGGUGCUGCUUCCGUUACCUAUCAACCCAUCACUUUUCUUUACAAUGGACAAUCAAAGGUCCAUUUCUCUGUUUCAGUUUAUGGCUGAUGAAGGACUUGUUCCAUGGCUAGAAGAUUACUUGUACGGACUUGGCAUAAAUAUCUAUGCAGUAAUAAUAUCCACUUCUCUUAAUUCUAAUGUCAAUUUUGGGAACCUCACUCACAAUCAUAUAUGAAUCAUGUCAUGAAUUUAUUAUUAUCUUUACAUAUAUUUUAUUAUCAUUUUCUCACAUGGUUUUGUUUUGUUUGCUGAGGGUACUCAGGGAUUUUGUGACCCUAACCCUACAAAUAUGUUGAUAAUGAGAAAAUGGAGUCAAAUGUAGUUUUCUAUUGGGGUUUGCAUCCUAACAAUAACUUCAGGGACAUUGAUUCGGUAAAGAGAGAGUUCAUGAAGAUUAUAAAAUGGCUAUGAAGGUUCUCCUGGGAGGACACAAACUAGUCUUUGGUGGAAAAGGAACUAGUCUUCCCUAUUGCCUUAUUGGCCAUAUGACACGUAGUGGAGAGGCUUGAUGCCUAUGUUCUAUGUAAUAUAGACCUGUAUAUUCUUUUUUCCCCUUCUCCCUCUUUUUUUUUGUUGCUCUUCUAACUUCAGUAGGGCAUAGGUUUAUAUAGGAUCAGCUGAGUGAUGAGUAGUCUUACAGUAUAUUGAAGAAAUUUUUUGAAAGUAAAAAAAGUUAUGAGGGCUUGGGACAUGCAAAGUGAAUAAACCCCAUUUUACCUUUCAAAGAAUAGAGACAAAUCAAUGAUUAGUAGUUGGCUUGGUAAGUUAAUCACCGCAUGUUUCUU